UGGGGAAUCUUGCACAAUGCGCGAAAGCGUGAUGCAGCAACGCCGCGUGCGGGAAGAAGGCCUUAGGGUUGUAAACCGCUUUCAGUUGGGACGAAGCUUCGCGGGUUAAUAGCUCAUUGGAGUGACGGUACCUUCAGAAGAAGCGCCGGCUAACUACGUGCCAGCAGCCGCGGUAAUACGUAGGGCGCAAGCGUUGUCCGGAAUCAUUGGGCGUAAAGCGCGUGUAGGCGGCUGAGUAAGUCUGCUGUGAAAGUCCAGGGCUCAACCCUGGGAUGCCGCAGAUACUGCUUGGCUAGAGUACGGGAGGGGCGAGUGGAAUUCCUGGUGUAGCGGUGGAAUGCGCAGAUAUCAGGAGGAACACCUAUGGCGAAGGCAGCUCGCUGGAACGUUACUGACGCUGAGACGCGAAAGCGUGGGGAGCAAACAG
rnacentral:rRNA from 1 species